GGAGGAUCAUUAUCGUAGGGCUUCGGCCCUGUCGAGAUAGAACCCUUGCCUUUUUGAGUACCUUUCGUUUCCUCGGCAGGCUCGCCUGCCAAUGGGGACCACAAAAAACACUUUGCAGUACCUGUAACAGUCUGAACAAACAAAACAAAAAUUAAAACUUUCAACAACGGAUCUCUUGGUUCUGGCAUCGAUGAAGAACGCAGCGAAAUGCGAUAAGUAGUGUGAAUUGCAGAAUUCAGUGAAUCAUCGAAUCUUUGAACGCACAUUGCGCCCUUUGGUAUUCCUUAGGGCAUGCCUGUUCGAGCGUCAUUUAAACCUUCAAGCUAAGCUUGGUGUUGGGUGACUGUCCGCUUCACUGCGGACUCGCCUCAAAAUUAUUGGCGGCCGGUACAUUGGCUUCGAGCACAGCAGAAACGCGAACUCGGGCCCGUCGUAUUGGCUCCCAGUAGCUAUCUUCACAAUUUUGACCUCGGAUCAGGUAGGGAUACCCGCUGAACUUAAGCAUAUCAAUAAGCGGAGGA
rnacentral:rRNA from 1 species